UACAGAGGUCUCAAGUGUUGUUCGGAUUCAUUGGGCGUAAAGGGUGCGUAGGCGGCGCGGUAAGUCGGGUGUGAAAUUUCGAGGCUUAACUUCGAAACUGCAUUCGAUACUGCCGUGCUAGAGGACUGGAGUGGAGACUGGAAUUUACGGUGUAGCGGUGAAAUGCGUAGAUAUCGUAAGGAAGACCAGUGGCGAAGGCGGGUCUCUGGACAGUUCCUGACGCUGAGGCACGAAGGCCAGGGGAGCAAACAGG
rnacentral:rRNA from 1 species